rnacentral:lncRNA from 1 species
AACUGCAAUUUGAAUGAGCAGAAUAAUCACAGCUAACAAUUAAAGGCUGGGGACAAAACCCAUCAAUAAUCCUGUCUAGCUUGUUCUUGAUAAAACAAAAAUCCAGACGAAUAGUAGGAUACAUUGCUUCCUUGCUAUUCUCAUGAUAAAGCUAGAAACUGGGGGAGUGGGAUCACCACUUCUGUCUUGCUAAUAGACGGGUUCUGGGGAGAAGCAAGCAUCUUGUGCACUCUUACAAGGACUCCCCAUUAGGUCAUCUAGUCCUCACACCACCACCCCCUGCCUUAGAACCUCUUUAUAAACCCCGAUCACCCUCCUCCAACAGCAUGGUAGUCCUAAUGAAGGCAUCCUACCUUCCCCUAAUCUUGUGAGUAAUAUUUGCAGAAGAGUUUCGGAAGCCUACUGAAAAAAAGGAGAUGAUUUGGAAGGGCAGGCAUAGCCCCUGCUGACAGAGAACCCUCCCCCAACUGAGGCAGAAAGCACCUCCCACCUGACACUCUGGACUCCCCUGACUGUCUGGUGGGACUUCCCUCAGAACAAAGCCUGAAAAUCUGCAUAAUUAUCAAUUGAAUAGACUCAUUGUUUUAUUUCAAGCCUGGUGCUCCAAUUACUGCUGUCCCUUUAAACACACUCUGUGCUGCUCGGUUGGGUAGAAAAAGGCUUCUUUGGAUUGGGAGGACUUUCUUUCCCAAGACUGCAGCUGCCUUCUGGAAAUACACCCUUUCCUCUGGCCAGCACUCAGCUAUGGCGAAUUGAAGCAGCAGAGACACAGAUACAGUGCUUUCAUGUGCUGAUUCCUCCAAGGCUCACAACUGAGUCUGGGCUAAAACAAAACCAGGAGCUGUGGGGCAGGGAUUGUGCUGCAUCAGUUUAAGCUGCUGAUUGGGAUGCUCACAUCAAAUACCAGGGUGUGUGUCUUGUCUACUAUGAUUUUUUUUAAAAAAGUGUUUUCUAAUUAAUGUGAAAUGUAGUUUGUCAUAUUUGAUAUCUAGAGCUAUAGUGAAGUGCAUUGACAAAUAUCAAAUGAUUUGUAGAUGUCACGAACUCUGGUUUAUUUAUUUAUGUUUGAGUAGGGUUAU